CACGCCACCCCUGCUCCUUCCUGCCUCUGUCACAGCGCUCUGCGCGGCCCACCCCCGCCUCCCGCCCGCCGCCCGGCCGCGGCGCAGGCUCCGCGCUCGCCUCCUCUCCGCCCGCUGCCUCGGCGCCCCGCAGUCCCCGGCGCCGCUUACAGCCCCGCCGCCGCGCCACGCCGCCCCGCCCCGCCUAGCCUCGACCGGCGUUCCCGAUGGCGAUCACACCAGGGCUCCCCACCCCCACCCUCUCCUCCGCCGGCCUUGUGGCCGUUAGGACAGCCGGGCCCGUGACGCACGGACGCGGCGCGAGCGUCCGGCCCAGGAACCCCGGCUCUAGGCCCUGCCGGCACCCGCCCUCGCCCCAGGGCCUCUCCUGAGUCCCUCCGGGACUGCCCGGAUCUGCCGGCGGGAGGGGGAGGGGCCGGGGCCGCAAGGCCCCAGCACUCACCAGGCUCAAGGCAACCGAUCCCGGUGCCACCGCUGAAGUUAGCCCCUCGCUCGCCCGCCCGCCGUGCCACUCCCGCGCACAACCUCGAAGAGCUGGCCCGCGCCUCGGCGGUGCUCACCAGGCCUCGCUCUCCGCCGCCUCGCACCGAGCAGCGAGACUCAGCUCAGCCGGCGUUCGCAGUGCGCCUGCGUGCGGGGGCCGGCCCGAGCGCCUACGCGCGCCCCUCCGGCGCUUGUCGCAGAGGCUGCCGGGAGACGUAGUCUUGUAACGCUCUCUCGCCGGACAUUCCUAAUGACUGGAGCUAGAGAUUCGCUGGCCUUGAAGAAGCAAGCUGUCAUGUUGCGAACUGCCUAUGGAGAAAACUAAAUGGCAGGGAACUGCAGACGGCUUCUAGAACUUGAGCGCAGCCUGCAGCUGACAACCAGUAAGAAGCCAGGGCCCUCAGUCACACAACCACAAGGAAAUGAAUUCUGCCAACAACCUGAGAGGUGGCCUCCAGAUGAGAAGACAGCCUGACUUAAACCUUGAUAGCAGUUUUGUGAGACCCUGAGCAAAGAAAACAGAUAAACUGUGCGUAGACUCCUGGUCUACAGAAACUGUGAGAUAAUAAAUGUGUCUUAAGAUACUAUGUUUAUGGUAAUUUAUUAUACAAUAGAAAACUAAUACACUAGACAUUGCUGGAUUAUUUCAUAAAGUGAUUGUACCAAUUUGUACUCUAGAAACGGUAUAUAAGAUACUCUUCACUUGCUAACAGUUAGAAAUGUCUGGCUUUUUAAAUUUUUGCCAAUCUAACAUAUAAAUUACUUGAACAUAAAAACAUGAAAAAUAGAUAUUUACUUAGAAUUAUGCAUUCUGUUGUAUUUCUUUUCUGUUGCAUAAAUGCAAUUAAAUAAAAUAGCAGGCUGGGAACAGUGGCUCAUGCCUGUAAUCCCAGCACUUUGGGAGGCUGAGGCAGGAGGAUCACUUGAACCCAGGAGUUCCAGACCAGCCUGGGCAACAUAGCAAGACCCCCAUCUCAACACACAAAAAAAUUAGUCGGGCAUGGUGAGUCGCACCUGUAAUCCCAGCUAUUCAGGAGACUGAGGUGGGAGGAUCACUUGAGACCAGGAGUCUGAGCACACCACUGCACUUCAGCGUGGGUGGCAGAGCAAGAUAUUGUCUCAAAAAAAAAAAAAAAAAAGCAACUAGUAGUAAUAAAUAGAGAGACUAAUUAAGCAAAUAAUAUGUAUGAGAAAAAUGCAACAAUUUCAUAAGGUUUCUUUCUUUCCUCUGGUAUAGCAAUUUAGCUCUAUUGCAUAUUUGAAUUUUGUAGGCUAUAUCAUCCUAUAUUCUUGAGAUAAAUAAGUGUAAGAAUUUUUUAAAGAAUGUAUACAAUAGAACUAAUGAGAUAGAUAUUACCUAUAUUAAAUAAAAAAUAAUGACAUAUUUCUUUCUGUCCCAUGAUAGCUUGAGAUAUUUUUAUUCUUUCUGUUUCCUUUUCCAUUAGUACUUUUCUGAACUACUUGGGAUCUUUA
rnacentral:lncRNA from 1 species